GGGGGUAUAGCUCAGCGGUUAGAGCAGGGCGCUCAUAACGCCUUGGUCGGGGGUUCAAAUCCCUCUACCCCCACCA
rnacentral:tRNA from 1 species